rnacentral:rRNA from 1 species
CCCUUAGAUGUCCUGGGCCGCACGCGCGCUACACUGAGUGUCUGAGAUACGAGUCUGCCUGGUCCGGCAAGGUCUAGGUAAUCGCUAAAAGACACAUCAUGCGUGGGAUAGAUUAUUGCAAAUAUUAAUCUUGAACGAGGAAUUCCUAGUAAGCGCAAGUCAACAGCUUGCGUUGAUUACGUCCCUGCCCUUUGUACACACCGCCCGUCGCUACUACUGAUUGGAUGUUUAAGCGAGGUUCUCGAACUGCUAGCGACUUAGCUUCGGUGAGGUCGCAGUGUGGGAAGUGAACCUAGCUUUGGUGUCUAGAGGAAGUAAAAGUCGUAACA